GGGGUUGACUGGAUUUGACAGCGGGAUGAAAUGGUACGUAAGCACGCGGAGCCUCGUUGGCUAUCUCCUAAAACGAAGUGAACAAACAAUUAAUUGGCAACAAUCAGUAUGCUCUCGCUGCCUAACCGAAGCACAGUAGGUUAUUCGGCUUAAUUCCCUUGCAAGGCGAGGGAACGAGACAUCGCUCCAAGGAUGUAGUUCCGAAUCCAAGGAUCAAGCGGUGCAGGUAAAUCGGAAAUAGCACGUUCAGGCCUCGAUGGGCGUGUGAGAUUUUAGAGGAUAAGGCGCCGGUUGGUGGUUCAGGUCUUGCCGUCGCUCGAAAAUGAAGUCUGAAAUAAGCGUGUAGAAAGC
rnacentral:tmRNA from 1 species